GACGAACGCUGGCGGCGUGCCUAAUACAUGCAAGUCGAGCGGAUUUUCGGAAGCUUGCUUCCGAAAAUUAGCGGCGGACGGGUGAGUAACACGUGGGCAACCUGCCUGUAAGACUGGGAUAACUUCGGGAAACCGGAGCUAAUACCGGAUACAUUCUUCCCUCGCAUGAGGGAAGAUGGAAAGACGGUUUUGCUGUCACUUACAGAUGGGCCCGCGGCGCAUUAGCUAGUUGGUGGGGUAAUGGCCCACCAAGGCGACGAUGCGUAGCCGACCUGAGAGGGUGAUCGGCCACACUGGGACUGAGACACGGCCCAGACUCCUACGGGAGGCAGCAGUAGGGAAUCUUCCGCAAUGGACGAAAGUCUGACGGAGCAACGCCGCGUGAGCGAAGAAGGCCUUCGGGUCGUAAAGCUCUGUUGUCAGGGAAGAACAAGUACCAUAGUAACUGAUGGUACCUUGACGGUACCUGACCAGAAAGCCACGGCUAACUACGUG
rnacentral:rRNA from 1 species